rnacentral:rRNA from 1 species
AACGAACGCUGGCGGCAUGCCUAACACAUGCAAGUCGAACGAGACCUUCGGGUCUAGUGGCGCACGGGUGCGUAACGCGUGGGAACCUGCCCUUAGGUUCGGAAUAACUCCCCGACAGGGGUGCUAAUACCGGAUAAUGUCUUCGGACCAAAGAUUUAUCGCCUUUGGAUGGGCCCGCGUUGGAUUAGCUAGUUGGUAGGGUAAAAGCCUACCAAGGCGACGAUCCAUAGCUGGUCUGAGAGGAUGAUCAGCCACACUGGGACUGAGACACGGCCCAGACUCCUACGGGAGGCAGCAGUGGGGAAUAUUGGACAAUGGGCGAAAGGCUGAUCCAGCAAUGCCGCGUGAGUGAUGAAGGCCUUAGGGUUGUAAAGCUCUUUUAACCGGGAUGAUAAUGACAGUACCGGGAGAAUAAGCUCCGGCUAACUCCGUG